CACCCCAGUCAUGAGUCACAAAGUGGUAAGCGCCCUCCCGAAGGUUAAGCUACCUACUUCUUUUGCAACCCACUCCCAUGGUGUGACGGGCGGUGUGUACAAGGCCCGGGAACGUAUUCACCGUGGCAUUCUGAUCCACGAUUACUAGCGAUUCCGACUUCAUGGAGUCGAGUUGCAGACUCCAAUCCGGACUACGACGCACUUUAUGAGGUCCGCUUGCUCUCGCGAGGUCGCUUCUCUUUGUAUGCGCCAUUGUAGCACGUGUGUAGCCCUACUCGUAAGGGCCAUGAUGACUUGACGUCAUCCCCACCUUCCUCCAGUUUAUCACUGGCAGUCUCCUUUGAGUUCCCGGCCGGACCGCUGGCAACAAAGGAUAAGGGUUGCGCUCGUUGCGGGACUUAACCCAACAUUUCACAACACGAGCUGACGACAGCCAUGCAGCACCUGUC
rnacentral:rRNA from 1 species